rnacentral:rRNA from 1 species
UACAGAGGGUGCAAGCGUUAAUCGGAAUUACUGGGCGUAAAGCGUGCGUAGACGGUAGCGUAAGUCGGGUGUGAAAGCCCCGGGCUCAACCUGGGAAUUGCAUUCGAGACUGCUCUGCUAGGGUGCGGAAGAGGGAGCGGAAUUUCCGGUGUAGCGGUGAAAUGCGUAGAUAUCGGAAGGAACACCAGUGGCGAAAGCGGCUCCCUGGUCCAGCACCGACGUUCAGGCACGAAAGCGUGGGAGCAACAGG